rnacentral:rRNA from 1 species
ACGAACGCUGGCGGCAGGCUUAACACAUGCAAGUCGAACGCACUCUUCGGAGUGAGUGGCAGACGGGUGAGUAACGCGUGGGAACCUACCUAAUAGCUCGGAAUAGCCUCGGGAAACUGGGAAUAAUACCGAAUACGCCCUUUGGGGGAAAGAUUUAUCACUAUUAGAUGGGCCCGCGUUAGAUUAGUUUGUUGGUGGGGUAACGGCCUACCAAGACUACGAUCUAUAGCUGGUCUGAGAGGAUGAUCAGCCACAUUGGGACUGAGACACGGCCCAAACUCCUACGGGAGGCAGCAGUGGGGAAUCUUGCACAAUGGAGGAAACUCUGAUGCAGCGAUGCCGCGUGAGUGAAGAAGGCCUUUGGGUUGUAAAGCUCUUUCGUCGGGGAAGAAAAUGACUGUACCCGAAUAAGAAGGUCCGGCUAACUUCGUGCCAGCAGCCGCGGUAAUACGAAGGGACCUAGCGUAGUUCGGAAUUACUGGGCUUAAAGAGUUCGUAGGUGGUUGAAAAAGUUAGUGGUGAAAUCCCAGAGCUUAACUCUGGAACUGCCAUUAAAACUUUUCAGCUAGAGUAUGAUAGAGGAAAGCAGAAUUUCUAGUGUAGAGGUGAAAUUCGUAGAUAUUAGAAAGAAUACCAAUUGCGAAGGCAGCUUUCUGGAUCAUUACUGACACUGAGGAACGAAAGCAUGGGUAGCGAAGAGGAUUAGAUACCCUCGUAGUCCAUGCCGUAAACGAUGUGUGUUAGACGUUGGAAAUUUAUUUUCAGUGUCGCAGGGAAACCGAUAAACACACCGCCUGGGGAGUACGACCGCAAGGUUAAAACUCAAAUGAAUUGACGGGGACCCGCACAAGUAGUGGAGCAUGUGGUUUAAUUCGAAGAUACGCGCAGAACCUUACCAACACUUGACAUGUUCGUCGCGACUCUAAGAGAUUAGGCUUUUCAGUUCGGCUGGACGAAACACAGGUGCUGCAUGGCUGUCGUCAGCUCGUGUCGUGAGAUGUUGGGUUAAGUCCCGCAACGAGCGCAACCCCUACCUUUAGUUGCCACCAUUUAGUUGGGCACUCUAGAGGGACUGCCAGUGAUAAGCUGGAGGAAGGUGGGGAUGACGUCAAGUCCUCAUGGCCCUUACGUGUUGGGCUACACACGUGCUACAAUGGCAUCUACAACAGGAAGCAAAACGGCAACGUUAAGCAAAUCCCGAAAAGAUGCCUCAGUUCGGAUUGCACUCUGCAACUCGAGUGCAUGAAGCUGGAAUUACUAGUAAUCGUGGAUCAGCGUGCCACGGUGAAUGCGUUCCCGGGUCUUGUACUCACCGCCCGUCA